AAAAACACGUUUUGAGAACUUUGAUUUUUGAGUUUGGAUCAAACACCCUCUUUUUCAAGAACAAGCUCUGAUACCAGUUGUUGGGUUAUUUCCAGAACUCAAACACACACAAUUUACGUGGUUCGGCAACUUGCCUACUCCACGGAGCUACUGGUUUGUAUUAAUGAAGCUUUACAAACAAUACAAACAACAAUACAAGGAGGAGGAGAAAAUCUUCUCAACUCAACUCAACUCUCCUUAGCUCUCUCUCUGUUUUCUCUCUGUGUUUCUCUCUGUUUUUAUGUUACACGGGCUCUCCUUGGUAGCUUCUUCUUAUAGCAGAG
rnacentral:lncRNA from 1 species